CCUACGGGAGGCAGCAGUAAGGAAUAUUGGUCAAUGGAGGCAACUCUGAACCAGCCAUGCCGCGUGCAGGAAGACUGCCCUAUGGGUUGUAAACUGCUUUUAUCCGGGAAUAAACCUGCUUACGUGUAAGUAGCUGAAUGUACCGGAAGAAUAAGGAUCGGCUAACUCCGUGCCAGCAGCCGCGGUAAUACGGAGGAUCCAAGCGUUAUCCGGAUUUAUUGGGUUUAAAGGGUGCGUAGGCGGCCUGUUAAGUCAGGGGUGAAAGACGGUAGCUCAACUAUCGCAGUGCCCUUGAUACUGAUGGGCUUGAAUGGACUAGAGGUAGGCGGAAUGAGACAAGUAGCGGUGAAAUGCAUAGAUAUGUCUCAGAACACCGAUUGCGAAGGCAGCUUACUAUGGUCUUAUUGACGCUGAGGCACGAAAGCGUGGGGAUCAAACAGGAUUAGAUACCCUGGUAGUCCACGCCCUAAACGAUGAACACUCGCUGUUGGCGAUACACAGUCAGCGGCUAAGCGAAAGCGUUAAGUGUUCCACCUGGGGAGUACGCCCGCAAGGGUGAAACGUCAAAGAGUAGUAGGACGUGAGAGAGCGACGACGGACGACGACGGAGGGAGGAGG
rnacentral:rRNA from 1 species